GUGGGCGCAGUGGCCGGAGGUCUUGGUGCACUGGCAUUGGAUGAGGGGUUAAGGUAUGAAGAAGAUAAGAUGGCGGAGAGGGUCGAGAAUGACAUGGGUGAGCGUGAUGAGUACAGCAAUUAUCGUGCAGAUUACUGAUUGAAUCGUGGUUUAGGUAUGCUUUAAUUACUAAAGCGCAAUGGUAAAUGGGCGGUUUCACAAUUCGCACUGUAUAUGUAUAUGGUUUUAUGUGGAAUUUGGUUUCGGUCUUUUGGAUGGUUGUUGCCGACUGAAUUAAGACAAAGAUUUAAACUUUGUUGUUAAGUCAGUGUUUCAUUUAAUGAAAUAAAUGCUGGUUUGCUAUUGAAAUUUAUGCGGAGCUCGUAAUGU
rnacentral:lncRNA from 1 species